rnacentral:rRNA from 1 species
GGCCAGACUCCUACGGGAGGCAGCAGUGGGGAAUAUUGCACAAUGGGGGGAAUCCUGAUGCAGCGACGCCGCGUGGGUGAAGAAGUCAUUCGUGACGUAAAGCCCUAUCAGCAGGGAAGAAAAUGACGGUACCUGACUAAGAAGCCCCGGCUAACUACGUGCCAGCAGCCGCGGUAAUACGUAGGGGGCAAGCGUUAUCCGGAUUUACUGGGUGUAAAGGGAGCGCAGGCGGCACGGCAAGCCUGAUGUGAAAGCCCGCGGCCCAACCGCGGGACUGCAUUGGGAACUACCGGGCUGGAGUGCCGGAGAGGUAGGCGGAAUUCCUAGUGUAGCGGUGAAAUGCGUAGAUAUUAGGAGGAACACCAGUGGCGAAGGCGGCCUACUGGACGGUGACUGACGCUGAGGCUCGAAAGCGUGGGGAGCAAACAGGAUUAGAUACCCUCGUAA